rnacentral:hammerhead_ribozyme from 1 species
AUCCUGCUGAUGGGUCUGAAAUAGGACGAAACGCGCGUCAAACUGGAU